CAGUGAAAUUGAACUCGCUGUGAAGAUGCAGUGUACCCGCGGCAAGACGGAAAGACCCCGUGAACCUUUACUAUAGCUUGACACUGAACAUUGAGCCUUGAUGUGUAGGAUAGGUGGGAGGCUUUGAAGUGUGGACGCCAGUCUGCAUGGAGCCGACCUUGAAAUACCACCCUUUAAUGUUUGAUGUUCUAACGUUGACCCGUAAUCCGGGUUGCGGACAGUGUCUGGUGGGUAGUUUGACUGGGGCGGUCUCCUCCUAAAGAGUAACGGAGGAGCACGAAGGUUGGCUAAUCCUGGUCGGACAUCAGGAGGUUAGUGCAAUGGCAUAAGCCAGCUUGACUGCGAGCGUGACGGCGCGAGCAGGUGCGAAAGCAGGUCAUAGUGAUCCGGUGGUUCUGAAUGGAAGGGCCAUCGCUCAACGGAUAAAAGGUACUCCGGGGAUAACAGGCUGAUACCGCCCAAGAGUUCAUAUCGACGGCGGUGUUUGGCACCUCGAUGUCGGCUCAUCACAUCCUGGGGCUGAAGUAGGUCCCAAGGGUAUGGCUGUUCGCCAUUUAAAGUGGUACGCGAGCUGGGUUUAGAACGUCGUGAGACAGUUCGGUCCCUAUCUGCCGUGGGCGCUGGAGAACUGAGGGGGGCUGCUCCUAGUACGAGAGGACCGGAGUGGACGCAUCACUGGUGUUCGGGUUGUCAUGCCAAUGGCACUGCCCGGUAGCUAAAUGCGGAAGAGAUAAGUGCUGAAAGCAUCUAAGCACGAAACUUGCCCCGAGAUGAGUUCUCCCUGACUCCUUGAGAGUCCUGAAGGAACGUUGAAG
rnacentral:rRNA from 1 species